UGGAACUAUUCUUCACCUCCUACUCCUACUCCUUUGGUUGAUAUUUUUACCUUGUAUUAUAACCUUUUCUGCUCUCUUACUCUAGAGACACCACUAGCUGUGAACAUCUUGAGGACAGCACUACCUGAUGCAUCUUUGUGAACUCUCCCCUAUAGUUUAGUAAUCUGUGCUUAAAACACAGUUUAAGGGUUACAUGGUUUAUGGAUUAAUUUGGACAGAGUUGAAAGUUUGCCUUAGGAAUGGGCAAGGGAGCUGAGGUAUGGAAGCGCAAUUCAGUGUGCAACUAAGAUUCUAAGCAAGUUACAGGGAGUCUACCACUUGCCCACUGGUGCUUCUUCCUGACAAUCCGGAUGAGGAUAAACAAUAGGAUACAAAGGAGCGGCCAGGGCCUGCCAGAGGGAGACUGCCAGGCAAUCGGGAAACUGUACCCAAGGGAAAGUCAAAACUUCUCAUACUAAGCGUCCUAGAAGAAAACAAGGGAAUCAAAGGAGGAAAGGUGAUCGACUGCAUCGCCUUUAAGAAACUAGUCAGUGUGGAGAGCAAUCCUAUCAUCAAUACCUACGUGCCAAUUGUGAGGAAUUUUCCAGAAGGAUACAUGCUGCUGCUCCAAGACUUUGCAAGCACGUAGCUAAAACUUCCAUAUGGAUGCCCUUUCUUUUCAAAGGCCCUGAACUGUGUCACCACAGCCGGACAUCUGAAAGGACAAGGGGAGGCUCUAAUGAAACAGAAACUGAAGACUACAAUGAACAGAAAGACUGGAAGACCAACAUGUUUCAGCGAAAACGCUCUUUGUUUUCGUUUUCUAAUGGAGAUCUUAGGAAAAGAGAGCUUAUCAUUAUCAAAUUAUAGA